UAUGAGAGGUCCAGCCUGCCCAGUGACUAAGUUCAACGGCCGCGGUAUCCUAACCGUGCGAAGGUAGCGUAAUCACUUGUUCUUUAAAUGAGGACUAGUAUGAAUGGCACCACGAGGGUUACACUGUCUCCUUUUUUUAAUCAAUGAAACUGAUCUUCCCGUGAAGAAGCGGGAAUGUAAAUAUAAGACGAGAAGACCCUAUGGAGCUUUAAACAAUAAUAGCACUGGCCCACACCUUUGAUUCUCCUGAGAGAUAAUUAUUAUUUAGACCAAUAUGACUAUUAGUUUUAGGUUGGGGUGACCGCGGAGCAAACACCAACCUCCACGUUGAAUGGAGCAACUCCUGAGCUAAAAGCUACAACUUUAAGCACCAAUAAACUGACAUUAAUUGACCCAACAUGUUGAACAACGAACCAAGUUACCCUAGGGAUAACAGCGCAAUCCAUUUCAAGAGCCCCUAUCGACAAAUGGGUUUACGACCUCGAUGUUGGAUCAGGGUAUCCCAGUGGUGCAGCCGCUACUAAAGGUUCGUUUGUUCAACGAUUAAAACCCU
rnacentral:rRNA from 1 species